GAUGAACGCUGGCGGCGUGCCUAAUACAUGCAAGUCGAGCGCAGCGGGGACGGGUGAGUAACACGUGGAUAACCUCCUAUAAGACUGGGUUAACUUCGGGAAACCGGUACUAAACCGGAUACUGUUACAUGGAUGCGGGCGGCAUUAGCUAGUUGGUAAGGUAAAGGCUUACCAAGGCAACGAUGCAUAGCCGACCUGGAAGGGUGAUCGGCCACACUGGAACGGAGACACGGUCCAGACUCCUACGGGAGGCAGCAGUAGGGAAUCUUCCGCAAUGGGCGAAAGCCUGACGGAGCAACGCCGCGUGAGUGAUGAAGGUCUUCGGAUCGUAAAACUCUGUUAUUAGGGAAGCGGUACCUAAUCAGAAAGCCACGGCUAACUACGUGCCAGCAGCCGCGGUAAUAC
rnacentral:rRNA from 1 species